rnacentral:rRNA from 1 species
UACGUAGGGUGCAAGCGUUUGUCCGGAAUUAUUGGGCGUAAAGAGCUCGUAGGCGGUUUGUCGCGUCUGCUGUGAAAACGCGAGGCUCAACCUCGCGCCUGCAGUGGGUACGGGCAGACUAGAGUGCGGUAGGGGAGAUUGGAAUUCCUGGUGUAGCGGUGGAAUGCGCAGAUAUCAGGAGGAACACCGAUGGCGAAGGCAGAUCUCUGGGCCGUAACUGACGCUGAGGAGCGAAAGCGUGGGGGAGCGAACAGG